GGGUUGUGAGGUUAAGCGAAUAAGCGUACACGGUGGAUGCCUAGGCAAUCAGAGGCGAUGAAGGACGUGCUAAUCUGCGAAAAGCGUCGGUAAGGUGAUAUGAACCGUUAUACCCGACGAUAUCCGAAUGGGGAAACCCAGUAUCCAAUGGAUACUAUCAUUAACUGAAUCCAUAGGUUAAUGAGGCGAACCGGGAGAACUGAAACAUCUCAGUACCCCGAGGAAAAGAAAUCAACCGAGAUUCCCCUAGUAGCGGCGAGCGAACGGGGAGCAGCCCAGAGUCUUAAUCAAUAGCAGUGUCAGGAGAACGGUCUGGAAAGUCCGGCAGUAAAGGGUGAUAGCCCCGUAUCUGAAGAUGCUGUUAUUGUGAACUCGACGAGUAGGGCGGGACACGUGUUAUCCUGUCUGAAUAUGGGGGGACCAUCCUCCAAGGCUAAAUACUCCUGAUUGACCGAUAGUGAACCAGUACCGUGAGGGAAAGGCGAAAAGAACCCCGGCGAGGGGAGUGAAAAAGAACCUGAAACCGUGUACGUACAAGCAGUAGGAGCCUCUUUAUGGGGUGACUGCGUACCUUUUGUAUAAUGGGUCAGCGACUUAUAUUCUGUAGCAAGGUUAACCGUAUAGGGGAGCCGUAGGGAAACCGAGUCUUAACUGGGCGAAUGAGUUGCAGGGUAUAGACCCGAAACCCGGUGAUCUAUCCAUGGGCAGGUUGAAGGUUGGGUAACACUAACUGGAGGACCGAACCGACUAAUGUUGAAAAAUUAGCGGAUGACUUGUGGAUGGGGGUGAAAGGCCAAUCAAACCGGGAGAUAGCUGGUUCUCCCCGAAAGCUAUUUAGGUAGCGCCUCGUGAA
rnacentral:rRNA from 1 species